UUAUCUCGCUGCAGGAAUUUUGUUGGCUGGUUUGAGUCCAUUUUGGAACUCGCUUGUGAGAUCUGUUCGGAGCUAGUCCUUGAAGUCUCGAGGUUAUUCCGUUGAGGUCUUGGUGCUAGUUAUUCUUUUUACGAUGUGAUUUCAAUUGCCAGAACUCCAUGUUUGACGUUAACGUCUUUGAGUUAAAACGUGAAGAUUAAGC
rnacentral:lncRNA from 1 species